CACACACACACACACACACACACACACACACACACACACUCACAGGGGGGGACAGUCAGCAUAGACGCGCUGUAACCAAGGAGACAGGGCGAGGCAGGGGCAGGACAGCGCUUGUCACAAUCGCCCAACGUCCCCCUGUCCCCAAACUCAGAGAGAACUACUAGUCAGAGCACAUAGCACACUGCCAUCUCCAACUGUCACCAGUGGUUGUGUCUGAAUGUCAAAGACAGGUGGAAGAGAGAAGAAAGGAGGGACAUAGAUGAGAUGGGAGGGGACAAGUAGGGGGAUGAGAAGAGAUGUGGAGUUACUCACAUCCCUUUGUUUAUGGAAAUAAUAUUUUCUUCUUCAUUCUUUUCAUUGGCAUUUUGUAAACGAUUCAACUCCCUCACAAACGCAACUUGACAAUUGAUGUUCUCAUAUCAUAUUUGUUAAAAGGAGAAGUUUCACUGGCCUUAUUUGUUUACAGGUUUAGUUAGCUACUGUCUCCAGUCAUUAAAAGGUAUAAAUAUAUCCAGAUAGAGCCUCGGCCUGCCUACUUACCGACAUCCGUCUUCAAAGAAGUGAGCACCACAACAAGCCCUCCUAUAUUAUUAAUUCAUCUCUUUUAAGGAGACAAAAUACUCUGCUUGUAGAAUAGGCCUCUACUCUUUUGUUUGUCUGCUUUUUUAUUUUUCCCUUUCUUCACGAACAGAAUUUUUAAAACUCUUCAGCCGUCUUUGUAGCCGUUGAAGAUGGAGACUCUGAGUUAUUUUCCCACAAUGACAGGAGUUUAAUGAAGAGACAACGCCGCACGCCGUAACCACACCUCACAAGCGCCGUUGUGACAGGCCGCGCGGCAUCUUGCACGACAGCGACAGGCCAGUGAGAUGUCCCGUUUAUCACCGGAGAGGGAGAAAGCCAGUCUCCUGGCGGAGUGCCGCUGCAGAGCAAAAUAAAGGUCUGCAUCAGAGUGACAGGCAAAGACAGGGAGAACAUAGAAUCCAUAAGUGCAAGGUACCCUCUCGUGCUUCUCCUCGUGCGCUGGUGCCCUACAUCAGCGCUAAACCGCUGUCUGCACAACUCCGCAUAAACGCUCCGUAAGCACUUUAUCAGAAAUGCUUGUUCUUUUGGUUUUGCUUUCUUGUUGUUUUGCUGUUCCCCCUCUCUCUUCCUCUUUAAAAAAACUGUUCUGACGCUCAUUAAAACAGAAAAGAGGAGAAACAUCAAGAGAAGGAAGCGAGGCAGUUGGUGCGCUCGCCUCUAUCAAACCUGCGGUCACACAGCCGUCAUGGUGUGCAUGCAGGGAGAUAGAUGGGUUUGUUAUUAUCUAGAACAGGGAGAUCAGACUCCCGCUUUCUCCCCUCUCCAGUCACAAACCGGCUCACAUAAAGACUAUCAAUUAUGGAUCAAAUAAACGCGAGUCUUUAAUUCAUUGCCUCAGAACCUCUAUAUCCUCCCAUCCCACAGGCCUACUUGUGGUGUGAGAAGAGGAAAGGCAGUAUUACAGGGUCAUAUCAAUGAGGUACGAAGCCUGCCAUACAACCACAACCACCUGAAUCAAACUCUGGGAGGCCAUAGGCUUAGCGGAGUUGCCAACCACCGUGUCCAUCCAGUUUUCAGGGAUACAGCUCAUUCAACCUAGCUUCCUUUUCUGCUGAAAUCUGGAUGUGGGAACUACACACAGGCAUUUCUAUUUUUACAGUUAUGUAAAAGUUAUGGAGCCUGUGCUUUUGGGGAUGGUUUUCUAUGGAAGUAUGGAGCACAGCGGCCUUAAGCAUCCUGUUUCCACCCUGUCCCUGCCUACAGUAUAUAUGUGUCAGAUAUCUAUUAGACUACAAACCUGUCAGUGACAUAGCUGUGAGGACACCAGGUAACUCUGUUUUUUUUACACUAUUAUAGUGUGUGUGUGUGUCCACAGCACUGAUCUCCCUUUCAGCUCUCCAGCUGUUUCAAUAAAACAAGAGAUAAAACUAUCACGUCAUCUCUCUCAUUAUUCAUUUACUCGGAGGCUGAUUUUGUGCCGACACAACCGUUGCGUGGCAGUGCAAAGACUCUCUCUGGUUUCACCCUGGGCUUAGUGGCCGAGCAGCACACUGUAUUCUGAUUGGCCACUUCCUCCUGGAACAUAAAACAGCUAUCUGUCGAUAAGGACAGGAAGUGAAAGUCAGCCCCAGCCGCCUCAGGUGAGCUUGUCCUCUUAGUUGUUGGAUAUGCAUUACCCACCCCCUCAUAUACGGUAUGUGCACGCACGCAC
rnacentral:lncRNA from 1 species